UUACGGAAGGCAGCAGUCGCGAAUCUUUCGCAAUGGGCGAAAGCCUGACGAAGCGACGCCGUGUGAGCGAAGAAGGCCUUCGGGUUGUAAAGCUCUUUCGCUAGGGAACAAGAAAGAUUGGUUAAUAACCAGUCGAUUUGAUGGUACUUGGUAAAGAAGCACCGGCUAACUCCGUGCCAGCAGCUGCGGUAAUACGGAGGGUGCAAGCAUUGAUCGGAAUUACUGGGCGUAAAGGGCGCGUAGGCGGUCUGAAAAGUCAGAUGUGAAAUUCCGGGGCUCAACCCCGGAGCUGCAUUUGAAACUUUCAGACUUGAGGUUGGUAAGGGAAAACGGAAUUCCACGUGUAGCGGUGAAAUGCGUAGAUAUGUGGAAGAACACCGGUGGUGAAGACGGUUUUCUGUGCCAAACCUGACGCUGAGGCGCGAAAGCUAGGGGAGCAAACAGGAUUAGAUACCCUGGU
rnacentral:rRNA from 1 species